AAAUUUUAUUAGUCCCUAUGGGUAACAGUAAGUGGUGCCACUUCCAUUUUCACCCCUUGAUUCCUAGACCUGUGAAUCCUGACUACCAGAAAAACAGCAGCAUAUAUUGGAUGCUGAUUUAGAGCAUAUUCUGAAGAUCCUUGCCCCAGCCCUGGUAGUAUUGCCACCUAGCUUGAUGCCAGAUGAAUCUUCGAAAGACCAUUCUACCAUUCUAUCAAGAUAGCUGCUGCAGGAUGGUGGGUGUCCUUACAAGGAAGUGUGGAAGAGAACAGAUGCUAAUUUAUGACUCCGGAUCAAUUUGCUCAAACCUGCACACAGGCAUUAGAGGCAGAAGAAGGACACCAUUUUUCCCCCCGUUUGGUAUAUACCAUUCCUCUGGUUAUGUUGUUUACUGAUAUCCUGCCUCCGUGUCAGGCUUAAUACAAAUAAAUAAACAAACAACAAUCUCUAUUUUUUUAAAUAAAGGAAGCUUUUUAACCAUUUAAAG
rnacentral:lncRNA from 10 species